UACGGGGGGGCAAGCGUUGGUUCGGAAUUACUGGGCGUAAAGGCUCGUAGGCGGCCAACUAAGUCAGACGUGAAAUCCCUCGGCUUAACCGGGGAACUGCGUUCUGAUACUGGAUGGGCGUUGAGUUUGGGAGAGGGAGUGGCGGAAUUCCAGGUGUAGCGGUAGAAAUGCGUAGAUAGUCGGAGGAACACCGGUGGCGAAGGCGGCAUCCUGGACCACACUGACGCUGAGUGAGCGAAAGC
rnacentral:rRNA from 1 species